UACGGGGGGGGCAAGCGUUGUUCGGAAUUACUGGGCGUAAAGCGAACGUAGGCGGUGUUCCAUGUCAGAGGUGAAAGCCUGGGGCUCAACUCCAGAAUUGCCUUUGAAACUGGAACGCUUGAGUCCGAGAGAGGAUGGCGGAAUUCCUAGUGUAGAGGUGAAAUUCGUAGAUAUUAGGAAGAACACCAGUGGCGAGGGCGGCCAUCUGGCUCGGUACUGACGCUCAGGUUCGAAAGCGUGGGGAGCAAACAGG
rnacentral:rRNA from 1 species